ensembl:lncRNA
CAGCCGAUCCGGUGUGCUCCCAACCUGCCCAUACUCCCCCCUGCAGGCCAGACGCCGUAUGUCCCCCCCACAGUUACCUCAUCUGUCCAAACGUGUGAAACGUUUCCUCUUAACUAACGCUAAGAAAAAAACAGGAAGAUGGGCCCAUACCAGAGCACCAUCACAAUAACGGGACACCCCUGGGCUGUGGUCGAAUAUACUGUCAACCAAGCAACAGGGAACCCAUUAGCCUUAUUAAGGGUCAGGCCGCGUCCUGCUACGCGGUCCAAUACCUCCAUCUAGUGGCUACUUGACGCCAGUGGUUCUCUCCUGAUACACCAGUCUACAAUCACCAAUCACCAUUCCCUACUUCAGCCGGGGGAUCUCCUAUCAGCCGGCGCCAGUUCGUCGUUACGUCUACCCAUUCUCCCCCUGCCACCGAACCCCUGCCUGCCUGACUACCCGCCUGUCAUCGAGCCCUUGCCUGUCUGACUGCCUGCCUGUUACCGGAUCCCUGCCUGCCUGAUUACCCGCCUGCCUACCAAUAAAUCACGUUCCCUUUA